GACAUCUAAUUCUAUCUUAUCCGACAUGGUUGACAUUAUCCGUAUUCGAAUCCGAAUCCGACCAGAAAUAUGAAAACAAAUAUGAUACCAGUGAUAUCCGUCCGUAUCCGAUCCGUUUUCAUCCCUAGUUGGCAGAAAGGAAGGGGCCAAGGUGGUGAUGGAGACAUUUUUUUUUUACACAGAGUUGGACUUGCUUGUCUGUUUAAAACAAAUAAAACUAGUGAACAAAAAGCACUUGUGUACUAAAAAAUAAAAAUAGUGAAUCAAAUUUGUUCAACAUAAACUUACUUGACUAAAAAUAUAGAGAGGAGAGGGACUGAAGGCAGUGAUGGUUUUUUACACGGAGGUGGAGUUGCAUAUUAAAAACAAAUGAAAUUAGUGCCUAAAAAGAUAUAUUCUAAUGGGGGUGUUGUGAGAAUCAAAUUCACAACGUCUUUGACACCCAAAAACGAGAAAUGAAACACCCAAUUAACAAUUUGUAAAAUGUAAAUUAUGCUUCAAUUUAGUUGCUAAGAUGGGGCACUUGGACCAAACACCCAACAACUAGUGAAAUGAAAUUCUAAUUCAACACAGAAUUUUGGUUGCUAAUAACAUGGGGCGCCCACUAAUUUCGGAUCGAAAUACAUCAAGAGAUUAUUUGUCUAUUUUGAAAAGUACAACUAGUGACUUAUAAAAUUUAAAAUAAAACAAUGGGGUGUUGUGAGAAAAUACAGCUAAUGACAUAAAAUUUAAAAUAAAAUAAUGAGGUGUUGUGAACUCACGACCUCUUGCACCCUAAGGCCUUCUCCAAGGCAGUAGGGGCGAAGCUUCAUAUAAAUUAGGGGGGGCAAAUGCACUCCCAAAAAAUAAAAAAAACAAUGAUUAGAUCCAAAAAUUCACCAUAUAUGUACCCUCAUGAAAGAUGUCUAGCACCCACAAGCUAAGUGCAUAUCCUCUAAUUUACUAUAGCUUUGCCACAGUUGCAAGUAGUAGUAUAAGGAAACAUUAUUGGAAUAGAGCAGCACAACUGGUUCACCUUUUGCAGAGGCUGAGAGAAAGAACAUGAAAAGAAACAUAUGAUGAAGGCCUUGUUUAGUUUUUUUUUGUAAAAUGUAGCACUUUUGUUUGUAUCUGAUAAAAAAUAUUGUUCAGUUUAUGGAGUAACUAGGCUUAAAAGAUUCGUCUCACAAAUUACAAACAAAUUAUGCAAUUAGUUAUUAUUUUUAUCUAUAUUUAAUGCUUCAUGCAUGCGCCGC
rnacentral:lncRNA from 1 species